AGGGAGGGGGGGCCCCAGAUGGCCCUGACUCCUAGCCUGGCACUGACCCUCUGAUCUGGACUGUGCCCCCACAGGGGAGCAGCACCACCAGUGGAACCCUGAGGAAACCCCACUCCCAGACUCCCUGCCUAGGGACCCCGGGCCCUGAGGCCCCACCUGGCACAUGAGGUCUACUUUCCCUGUGGCCCCAGGACGUGUGUGGCUCUGCGAUGGGCCUGUGCACCAACCCCUCUAAGUGCCGGGCCCAGGGGCAGGAGCCUGAGCUCCCCAGGACCCCCAGAGCCCCUCCAGGAAUCCCCGGGCCAUGGGCUGGCCCUGCCCCACUGCCUGAGGUUCUGCCCCAUGGUGCUGGCCCUGUCCCCAGGAGGGGUGAGCAGGACGCUGCCCGCAGGGAUGGGUUCCUAGAGAGGGGCUCCACCAACCCACUACCCUCACUGCUCCUGGCUCCUCCCCUCUAGCUCUUUGCCCUUGUCCUUGAAGAGGACUUCCAUACCACUCCCCAGUGUCCCCGCACACCCACUGACCAGGCCAGGCAGUCAGGGCACCUGGGCUGCUCCUGAGCAGUACCCAAUCACCCCCUGACACGAAGCCCCGCGGGCCCCAGCACCGCUCAUAAGGAGCCCUGCCCAUGGCCCUCUGUGGUCCGGGUGGCCCCUCGGGCCCUGGGCUGCACGCCGUCCACAAGGAGGCAGGAUGACUUCCUGUCGCCGCCCAGCAAAUGCCGUGCGGUCCACACCGCAAACCCUCUUUCUUUGAGCUCUAGGAGCCAGAGGCAGGAAGGAGGCCUCCAGGCCAAGUCAACAAGGUUUACACAGGGCCACCCCCCCCCGGGGGGGCUCCUCAGAGAUUCUCUCCCCUGUCCACAUUCUAGAGGCCACCACGUCCUUCUGUGGUCAGCACCCAAGGGAUGACACCGGGUACCCCCAGCAGGGCUCUUCACGCAAGUACACCUGCAGAGUCCCUCCCGUAAGGGGGCAAAGCUACAGGCUGAGGCGUGCAGCCCCCACCCAGCCUCCCACAUACCCUUGGGCCUGGAAAGGGCAGCUGCCCCUGCAGACUCCCCGCCAACCAUCCCCGGGCCACCCCUGCCUGCCAGGGCAGUGAGGGUGUCUCCAGCACCACGGCCUCCGUAAGUAGAGGCCAGCCUCCCUGGGGUGCAGCCAGGGCUCAACCAGAGAAGGUGAGCAGGUCUGCACAGGGCUUCGGUGCACUGGCAGGAAACUGCCACCCUGCUUAUUACAACCACUAAUAAUUAUACCCUCGUGACUCAACCUCCACCAGCUACCCCUAUCCUGGCCUCGCCCAUAGUAUUCUCCUUCCCCAGAGAGAACGCAGCAGAACCCUUUGCCAGAGGCCAUCAGCAGUGAGGCUGCCCGGGAUGCCCCAGGUACUGCCCCGCCCAAGGGCAAAGGCCCCGCCCAAGGGCAGGGCUGUGGCUCCCCUGCGAGGACCCAAGCACCUGCUCCAGGUCGUCGGCAGGGCUGCUGCAAAGGGCUCGGCCUUCCCACGGAAGCACUCCGGGGCAGGCAGGCCUGUCCCCAGGCGUGCCAGCCCAAGACAGCACGUGUGUAUGCCCAGCCAGCCAGCAGAGAAGACGGGAUCAGGAGCUGCUGCUGCCACACGCAGACCACAGGGGCAAGCGUGUGACACGUCUGCAGCACCAACAGGGCCCUACAGUGCCGGCUGGGCGCGCACCCCUCUGCUGGGCCGUGGGGUGUCCCCGCCAAGCCCUCGUCCCCUGGCUUCUCUGAACCUCUCCCCAGAGCCUGUGACCAAGAAUGGGUCCCUCUUCUCGCGUCUGAAGGGCAAGACCCCACAGUGACCUCUGGCCAGGCGGGCAGCCUCCGGAGAGGCCCAGCCGGUUCCAGGUGGAGAGCUAGCAAGGCCGCCCUCUCCCCCUCACCAGGCCACAGGGGCCCGCUCAGCCCAGAAGCACAAAGGGCCUGCCUCAAAGCGCGAAUCCGUGAGCCAUCCAGGAAGCAGCCCGCGGGGCCGGAACGUUCCAGGAUCACCGUCUCAUCCCUCGGAACAGAGCAGCCCUUUGUUUGCUAUCUCGGCCAUCAUCAAAUAUUUACAGGGGCUCACGGCCUAUUCCAGGCAGGCCGCUGGGAGCCAACUGCCGCACUCCCCUGGACACGCGGAGGCGCAGGGAUCACUGUGGGGAGGCCUCCCUCCUGAACAUGUUGGGAGACUCACCACCUCAGGAAGGCGGGCGUGAGAGGGACCACCUGUCCGGGCCCUCCUGGCACCAACACCCCUGGAUAGACCUACGGGGAGCCCCUAACCCAGAGCUGCCGCCUUGUGCCCAGGAAGACUCAGUCCAGCACCAGCUUCUCCCCGCACAGCCAGCCCAGUGGAGAACUUUCUAGAACAGCACACAGACAGCGACAAACCCUGAACCACAGCCUCCAUGUAAAAACCAACGGCAUGAGAAGACCCUUUAGACACAGAAAGAUUUUAAUACCUGUCACACCCCCCUGGGGCACCUGGAUGGCAUAGUCGGAUGAGCACCCGACUCCUGAUUUCAGCUCAGGUGGUGAUCUCAGGAUCCUGGGAUCCAGCCCCACAUGGCCCCCUGCGCAGGGCAGAGUCCACUGAGGUUUCCCUCUCUCCCUCAGCCCCUCCCACCACACGCAAACAUGCCCUCUUUCUAAAAAUAAAAUAAAUCCUAAAAAACUGAAUGAAUGAA